CAGAUUUAUACUUCAGCAUUGUUACGAGGUGAUGAAGAAGGACCGAUACAGACAGACUACUCCCCACAGACAGAUUUAUACUUCAGCAUUGUUACGAGGUGAUGAAGAAGGACCGAUACAGACAGACUACUCCCCACAGACAGAUUUAUACUUCAGCAUUGUUACGAGGUGAUGAAGAAGGACCGAUACAGACAGACUACUCCCCACAGACAGAUUUAUACUUCAGCAUUGUUACGAGGUGAUGAAGAAGGACCGAUACAGACAGACUACUCCCCACAGACAGAUUUAUACUUCAGCAUUGUUACGAGGUGAUGAAGAAGGACCGAUACAGACAGACUACUCCCCACAGACAGAUUUAUACUUCAGCAUUGUUACGAGGUGAUGAAGAAGGACCGAUACAGACAGACUACUCCCCACAGACAGAUUUAUACUUCAGCAUUGUUACGAGGUGAUGAAGAAGGACCGAUACAGACAGACUACUCCCCACAGACAGAUUUAUACUUCAGCAUUGUUACGAGGUGAUGAAGAAGGACCGAUACAGACAGACUACUCCCCACAGACAGAUUUAUACUUCAGAAUUGUUACGAGGUGAUGAAGAAGGACCGAUACAUACAGACUACUCCCCACAGACAGAUUUAUACUUCAGCAUUGUUACGAGGUGAUGAAGAAGGACCGAUACAGACAGACUACUCCCCACAGACAGAUUUAUACUUCAGCAUUGUUACGAGGUGAUGAAGAAGGACCGAUACAGACAGACUACUCCCCACAGACAGAUUUAUACUUCAGCAUUGUUACGAGGUGAUGAAGAAGGACCGAUACAGACAGACUACUCCCCACAGACAGAUUUAUACUUCAGCAUUGUUACGAGGUGAUGAAGAAGGACCGAUACAGACAGACUACUCCCCACAGACAGAUUUAUACUUCAGCAUUGUUACGAGGUGAUGAAGAAGGACCGAUACAGACAGACUACUCCCCACAGACAGAUUUAUACUUCAGCAUUGUUACGAGGUGAUGAAGAAGGACCGAUACAGACAGACUACUCCCCACAGACAGAUUUAUACUUCAGCAUUGUUACGAGGUGAUGAAGAAGGACCGAUACAUACAGACUACUCCCCACAGACAGAUUUAUACUUCAGCAUUGUUACGAGGUGAUGAAGAAGGACCGAUACAUACAGACUACUCCCCACAGACAGAUUUAUACUUCAGCAUUGUUACGAGGUGAUGAAGAAGGACCGAUACAGACAGACUACUCCCCACAUACAGAUGAUGCUCUUUUUAUAUUUGUAUUUUUUUCUUUAUUUAAACUUUAUUUAACUGGGCAAGUCAGUGAAGAACAAAUGGUUAUUUACAGUGACAGCCUUCCCCCGG